GACGAACGCUGGCGGCGUGCUUAACACAUGCAAGUCGAACGGAAAGGCCCUGCUUUUGUGGGGUGCUCGAGUGGCAAACGGGUGAGUAACACGGGAGUAACCUGCCCUUGACUUUGGGAUAACUUCAGGAAACGGGGGCUAAUACCGGAUAGGAGCUCCUCCGGCAUGGGGGGGGUUGGAAAGUUUCGGCGGUUGGGGAUGGACUCGCGGCUUAUCAGCUUGUUGGUGGGGUAGUGGCUUACCAAGGCUUUGACGGGUAGCCGGCCUGAGAGGGUGACCGGCCACAUUGGGACUGAGAUACGGCCCAGACUCCUACGGGAGGCAGCAGUGGGGAAUAUUGCACAAUGGGCGGAAGCCUGAUGCAGCAACGCCGCGUGCGGGAUGACGGCCUUCGGGUUGUAAACCGCUUUCGCCUGUGACGAAGCGUGAGUGACGGUAAUGGGUAAAGAAGCACCGGCUAACUACGUG
rnacentral:rRNA from 1 species